rnacentral:misc_RNA from 1 species
CUCAUGAUAUGCAAGGACUGCAAGUGUUAAAAAUGCAAAUGGCUGAUACACAAGAGUAAGAACCCUUGAGGGGUGGUAUCGCGGGAAAAGGUAACCAUAGUAAUCUUCUAUUGUAAGCAUACUAUUCCAUGAAAAGAGGCAUCCAUUUCCAAGAAGAAAACACACCACCACAGCAGAAAACUUUCCCUCAAGGUCGUUGGGAGCUAUGCCUCUAACAAGGUUGUCCAUAAUCACUUUGUUUGAAACAGCUG